UCUGAAGAGUCAGCUCGACACGCUGACGCAGCAGCUCGCUUCCGGAAAGAAGGCGACAUCCUAUGCCGGUCUCGGCGUCGACUCGGGAACCGCGACGGGGCUGCGCGCGCAGAUUUCGUCGAUCGCCGCUUUUGCGAACACCGGCACCGUCCUGAAUACGCGCAUCAAUGUCGCGAACCUGUCCUUGCAAGGCAUCAAAGACGCAG
rnacentral:misc_RNA from 1 species